GACGAACGCUGGCGGCGUGCUUAACACAUGCAAGUCGAACGGAAAGGCCCUGCUUUUGUGGGGUGCUCGAGUGGCGAACGGGUGAGUAACACGUGGGUAACCUGCCCUUGACUUUGGGAUAACUUCAGGAAACUGGGGCUAAUACCGGAUAGGAGCUCCUGCUGCAUGGUGGGGGUUGGAAAGUUUCGGCGGUUGGGGAUGGACUCGCGGCUUAUCAGCUUGUUGGUGGGGUAGUGGCUUACCAAGGCUUUGAUGGGUAGCCGGCCUGAGAGGGUGACCGGCCACAUUGGGACUGAGAUACGGCCCAGACUCCUACGGGAGGCAGCAGUGGGGAAUAUUGCACAAUGGGCGGAAGCCUGAUGCAGCAACGCCGCGUGCGGGAUGACGGCCUUCGGGUUGUAAACCGCUUUCGCCUGUGACGAAGCGUGAGUGACGGUAAUGGGUAAAGAAGCACCGGCUAACUACGUG
rnacentral:rRNA from 1 species